rnacentral:rRNA from 1 species
CCUACGGGCGGCAGCAGUGGGGGAUAUUGGUCAAUGGGGGAAACCCUGAUCCAGCGACGCCGCGUGAGUGAAGAAGUAUUUCGGUAUGUAAAGCUCUAUCUGCAGGGAAGUAAGAAAUGACGGUACCUGAGUAAGAAGCCUCGGCUAACUACGUGCCAGCAGCCGCGGUAAUACGGAGGGGGCAAGCGUUAUCCGGAAUUACUGGGUGUAAAGGGAGCGUAGACGGUAAUGCAAGUCUGGAGUGAAAGGCGGGGGCCCAACCCCAGGACUGCACUGGAAACUGGGUAACUUGAGUGCAGGAGAGGCAGGCGGAAUUCCGAGUGUAGCGGUGAAAUGCGUAGAUAUUAGGAAGAACACCAGUUGCGAAGGCAGCCUGCUGGACUGUAACUGACGUUGAGGCUCGAAAGCGUGGGGAGCAAACAGGAUUAGAUACCCGGGUAGUC